UGGGUGACCUGCCCUCAGCUCUGGGAUAAGCCCGGGAAAUUGGGUCUAAUACCGGAUAUGACCUCUCAUUGCAUGGUGAGGGGUGGAAAGUUUUUCGGCUGGGGAUGGGCCCGCGGCCUAUCAGCUUGUUGGUGGGGUGAUGGCCUACCAAGGCGACGACGGGUAGCCGGCCUGAGAGGGCGACCGGCCACACUGGGACUGAGACACGGCCCAGACUCCUACGGGAG
rnacentral:rRNA from 1 species